rnacentral:lncRNA from 1 species
AUGCUGCUGCGCCGCUCAGCGCCGGGAGCCGCGGGCCCACUGCCGGCCGGCAGCCGCCUCAUGUUGGCUCGGUGCCUGAGGAUCUCGUCUUCCGCAGGGAACGGCAGCUUCUUGGCGCCGAUGCGGGACAGCCAGGCCGUGUCGGCCGCCCGGCCACCCCCCGUCAGCCGCCCGCGCCGCGACAGCAGCUUCCUGGCCAGCCAGCCCGUGGCGGCCGCCGCCUUGCUCAGCACCUGUGCCCGCGGCUUAAAUUUCCUUUCCGGUUGCCGGCGGAAGAGCGACGUGCCGUCCUCGGCUGCUUGCCCGGCCCGGUGCAGCAGCAGGAAGGCCGGCUUGGGCGGUGGGGCAGCCGCGGCCUCCUCCUUCUUCCUCUUCUUCCCCACGUGCUUGAAGCGCACCAUGAGGUUGGAAGUGGACUUGAGGACCGCUUUGUUCUUCUUCUUCUUCUUCUUCUUUGUGCUCUGCUUCUGCAGCCCCCAGAAGAAGCGGGAGGUGUUCUUGAACUGCCCCUUCUUGGGCCGCCGCAGCCCCAGCUUCUUGAAGCCCAGGAAGAGCCUGGAGGUGCUACGCAGGCUGCGCUUCGCCCGCGCCUUCGGUGUGGCUGCCGCCACCACCUCCUCUUCCUCGGCAGGCUGGGCCUUGGCCUCCGUGCCCUUGGCUCCUUUCUUCUUCUUGGCAUUGUCGGCCGCCGCUUUGGAGGCGCCUUUGAGGUUCUUCUUGGCUGAUGCAGCAUCACUCUCACCCUCCUCUUCCUCCGGUUCCAGCUGCACCUUCUUCCCCUUGCCCGGCUUUUUGGCCACCACCGCCUUCAGCACCCCUUUCUUCUCCUUCCCUUUCCCCUUCUUGGGCUCCUCCGAUGCAGCCUCCUCCUCCUCUUCCUCCACCUUCUCCUUCUCCUUCUCCUUUUCCUUCUCCUUCUCCUCUUCCACCGCUUCGGACUCCUUGCUCUCCUCCUUCAGCAGCUCGCUGUCUGAUGUCUCCUCCACCUCGCUGACCACCUCCUUGCCCUUCUUGCCAUCCUUCCCUUUCCCUUUGCCCCCCUUCCCUUUGCCAUCCGCCUCCUUUUUGGCCUCCCCCUUCUUGCCGACCAUCCCGCCGGUGACAGCCGCUCAUGCUCCGGCUCUCACGCCCGCUCCAGCCCUAGCGAUGCCCUGCACAGAUGCCACAAGUCGACCCUUAUCCCAGGGAUGGUUAUUUACCUGCGCCUGGUUUCGGUGGGCCACGUGCCCGUGUGUGGCUCCCUGGGCUGCCCGCAGGGGCUCCCAGCUGGGCAUGGUGUGGGGCCGGCAGUGCAGGGCUAGCAGGAGCUGCCGCCUGCCUCCCACCCAGCCCCACGAGUCCGGCCCGAGAUGCUGGCCGCGGGGCUGCCAGCUGUAA